rnacentral:rRNA from 1 species
GACGAACGCUGGCGGCGUGCUUAACACAUGCAAGUCGAACGGAAAGGCCCUGCUGUUGUGGGGUGCUCGAGUGGCGAUGGGAUGAGUAACAUGUGAGUAACCUGCCCUUGACUUUGGGAUAACUUCAGGAAACUGGGGCUAAUACCGGAUAGGAUCUCCUGCUGCAUGUUGGCGGCUGGAAAGUUUCGGCGGUUGGGGAUGGACUCGCGGCUUAUCAGCUUGCUGGUGGGGUAGUGGCUGACCAAAGCUUCGACAGGUGGCUGGGCUGAGAGGGUGACCGGCCACAUUGGGUCUGAGAUGCGGCACAGACUCAUACGGGAGGCAGAGGUGGGGAAUAGUGUACUAUGGGCGGAAGGCUGGUGUGGCAACGCCGCGUGCGGGAAGACGGGCAGCGGGUAGUGAAGCGCUGUCGUCUGUGACGUAGAGAGAGUGACGGUAGUGGGUAAAGAAGCACCGGCUAACUACGUG